rnacentral:lncRNA from 1 species
AGUGUAGCAGUGAACUCUUGUCAGAAUUUCAAAUGAAUUAAUAUUUUGGUAAAAUGUGCUGGUGUAAAGCGUUAGAAGAUUAGUGAUGUGUAAUGAAUGACAUGCAUUCUUUUACAUGGAAAUAGGAAAAGAAUAAAUGUCCCACAGACGACUGGGGCUGUAGCAGUUUUACUUAAGAUUAAAGUCUGAUUGACCCUUGUUGGUGUGAUUCACCUUUCUGAAAUUAGAAGCCACGUCUGAGUUAGUCUGUCCCAUUUAAAUGCAAA